rnacentral:ncRNA from 1 species
CAACCUCAACUCAUAUGGGACUACCCCCUGAAUUUAAGCAUAUUAAUUAGGGGAGGAAAAGAAACUAACAAGGAUUUUCUUAGUAGCGGCGAGCGAAAAGAAAACAGUUCAGCACUAAGUCACUUUGUCUAUAUGGCAAAUGUGAGAUGCAGUGUAUGGAGCGUCAAUAUUCUAGUAUGAGAAAUUAAUGAUUUAAGUCCUUCUUAAAUGAGGCCAUUUACCCAUAGAGGGUGCCAGGCCCGUAUAACGUUAAUGAUUGCUAGAUGAUGUUUCCAAAGAGUCGUGUUGCUUGAUAGUGCAGCACUAAGUGGGUGGUAAACUCCAUCUAAAACUAAAUAUAACCAUGAGACCGAUAGUAAACAAGUACCGUGAGGGGAAAGUUGAAAAGAACUCUGAAUAGAGAGUUAAACAGUACGUGAAACUGCUUAGAGGUUAAGCCCGAUGAACCUGAAUAUCCGUUAUGGAAAAUUCAUCAUUAAAAUUGUAAUAUUUAAAUAAUUAUACUUAAGAAUAAUGUGCAUUUUUUCCCUAUAAAGGACAUUGUAAUCUAUUAGCAUAUCCCAAAUUUAUCACGAAGUAUAACUUAUAAGUUAUUUCCCAAUUAAAUUGCUUGCAUUUUAACACAGAAUAAAUGUUAUUAAUUUGAUAAA